rnacentral:rRNA from 1 species
UACAGAGGGGGCAAGCGUUGUUCGGAAUUACUGGGCGUAAAGGGCGCGUAGGCGGCCUGUUAAGUCGAACGUGAAAUCCCCGGGCUCAACCCGGGAACUGCGUCCGAUACUGGCAGGCUUGAAUUCGGGAGAGGGAUGUGGAAUUCCAGGUGUAGCGGUGAAAUGCGUAGAUAUUUGGAGGAACACCGGUGGCGAAGGCGGCAUCCCGGACCGAUACUGACGCUGAGGAGCGAAAGCCAGGGGAGCAAACGGG